GAAACGCAGUUCUACAAAGCUCUACCAGCGCCAGUUAAAAGCAUCGGACUCCACCUGGUAAUUCCAACGAAAAGCUGCAGGCUGCCCGGAAGCUCAGCCCUACAAAGGAUUCUGGGACAUGUAGUCCCGACGCUCCCUGCGUAUGCUCGACUGUGUCACCCCUUCCGCGCGGGAUUCUGGGAAAUGUAAUCCAGGUGUUCCGCGCAAUAAAAGGCGGUUCUGAUGCGGGAGUGUGGACUCGCGGCCUUCUUUCCUCUCCGGCGGGCUGCUUGGACCUCAUCACAUUCUUCUCAGAGUGCCCAGCAUGAAUUGGCAGAAAGGAGUUAUUCACUGACAAACCUUGAUUAGAAUCACUUUUGUGAAGAUUGGAGAGGAAGAGGCUCUUGCAAGUUGAGUUUACCUUCUUUUUUUGUCCUUAGGCAGUAAGGCAAUUUGUUGGGGUUAGUAGAAAGGUUGCAGGUGAAAACCUCAAGUCUAGUCUGUCUGAAAAAAUCUAGGGGACUCUUCCACCCUGUCCCUCCAGGGCUGUCUUUGACUAACGCCAUUCAAAUUGUGAUCCAGCAUCAUUCUCACCUGGGAUAUUGUUAGAAGUGCAGAUUCUUAGGUCCCAUCCUUGACCUACUGAUUUAGAAUUUCUGGGGGUGGGAUAUAGGAACCUGUGCUUCAGAAGGAUCUCCAGUUAAUUCAUUGGACAGUAAAAUUUGAGUAGCACUGGGAGAGAGAACGGUCUCAUGGCCUUUUUUUUCCCCUUUUUUGCACUUGAAUUUCAGGCAAUUUUACUUUUUUUUUUAAUAUAUAUUUUUCAUUAGAGAAGUUGUGAGUUUACAAAACAAUCAUGAAUAAUGUGCAGAAUUUCCAUAUAUAACCCUUCACCAACAGCUUACCUUGUGGUGGAACCUUUGUUACAGAUUACUAAAGAACGUCAUCAGGCUAUUACUACUAACUAUGGUCCAUAGCAAACAUUUGGUAUAAUUUUUCCACAUACUCCCUAAUAAUACCAUCUAUAUAUUGUACAUUUUGUUAUAGUUCAUGAAGGAACACUCGUGCUGUUAACCACAACCCAUCUUCCACCACAUGGUUCACUGUGUUAUACAGUCUCGUGCCUUGUACAGUCUAUCCAAAGUGUACACUCAGUGGCUCUCACUUUGAUCACAGAGUUGUGCAGUCAUUGCCUCGGUAAGUUUUUUAAUGUUUUCCGUAGUCCAAGAGAAAAAAUCCCAUACCCCCCUAUUUUUGACUCAGCAUUGAUAUAGUACUUUCUUUGAC
rnacentral:lncRNA from 1 species